GUGAGGAAUUUUCCGCAAUGGGCGAAAGCCUGACGGGGCAAUGCCGCGUGAAGGAUGAAGGCCUAUGGGUUGUAAACUUCUUUUCUCAGAAAAGAAUUAUGACGGUAUCUGAGGAAUAAGCAUCGGCUAACUCUGUGCCAGCAGCCGCGGUAAGACAGAGGAUGCAAGCGUUAUCCGGAAUGAUUGGGCGUAAAGCGUCUGUAGGUUGUUUAAAAAGUAUUCUGUCAAAGAUUAGGGCUUAACCCUAGAUAGGCAGAAUAAACUUUUAAGCUAGAGUUUGGUAGAGGCAGAGGGAAUUCCCGGUGGAGCGGUGAAAUGCGUAGAUAUCGGGAGGAACACCAAAGGCGAAGGCACUCUGCUGGGCCAAUACUAACACUGAGAGACGAAAGCGAGGGGAGCAAAUGGGAUUAGAUACCCGUGUAGUC
rnacentral:rRNA from 1 species